GGCCGAGUGGUGGAAUAGGCAGACACACGGGACUUAAAAUCCCGUAUCGCGCAAGCGGUGUGCGGGUUCAAGUCCCGCCUCGGCCA
rnacentral:tRNA from 1 species